rnacentral:rRNA from 2 species
UACGGAGGAUCCAAGCGUUAUCCGGAAUCAUUGGGUUUAAAGGGUCCGUAGGCGGUUUUGUAAGUCAGUGGUGAAAGCCCAUCGCUCAACGGUGGAACGGCCAUUGAUACUGCAAGACUUGAAUUAUUGGGAAGCAACUAGAAUAUGUAGUGUAGCGGUGAAAUGCUUAGAGAUUACAUGGAAUACCAAUUGCGAAGGCAGGUUGCUACCAAUACAUUGACGCUGAUGGACGAAAGCGUGGGGAGCGAACAGG